rnacentral:lncRNA from 1 species
GCCAAUCCAUCCAGAUGAAAAGACAAUUAAUAAUUUAUGUUCUUCAUGGAUUUAAUUGAAGAUGAAGUCUUUUCUUACAGUAAAAAUCCAAUGCUACCCAUCAAAUCUCAACAUACUCACUUUGACAUGUUUUGCAGGAGUAUAAUUGGGAUCAUCUAGGAUGCUUUGGGCAUAACAGGGACUGUCCAGGUUUACCACUGAUAGGUAAUAAUUUUUGUGUCGUUUCACUUUUAUAUUUGAUUUUUUUGUUUCAUAUCCAGCCUCAAGUGUUAUGUAAGAAUCUGGAGGUUUUUUUUCAUUCCAUUAUUGACCAAAUCUGAAAGUUGCUUACAUAAUUGCAAGAAGUUGUUAUUUACUGAUGUUUUAAUUUUUCCUAUUUUCGACAUUUGCAGGUCUUGAGGUUGCACAAAGUCCUGAUGGGAUGCUAAAUCAAAUGUGAAAGAAGUAGCCAUCCUGUUUAAGCUAGAGAGUUCAAAAUAUUGAAAGCACCAAUGAUAUGGACCUUGAUCAUAGUUUAGACUAAAUAUUAAAAUAGAGUUAACCUGAUAAUCGAGGGUGCUUUAGAACUGGAAGUUUUCACUUCAGAUAUCCAAAGCAGCUAGCACCGGGAUCAAUCCCUGAUAUCGAGUCUUAGCACUAUUUGGAAAUUCGAUGUUAUUCGUUCCAGUAGAGAGCUCGAUCCGACGGUUCGAAGGAUGGCAUUCCGAUAACAUGGGAAUGAGGUGACGACAGUGUAGCAGUGAUUAUGGAUUGAAUGGUUAGGGUGUGAAAUUUUAUGAAGAUUGUAUUCAAUGAUUCUCUUGAAAAUAAAAAUCCUUACAGCAUUUAUAAUAAACGCUGUUUAUGGAAUUUAAUUAAAAAGCA